GUGGCUAUUGCCACCGCCGCUGCUCCCGGAGGCUGGGGGCUGGAGGCCACAGGGCAGCAUCUGUCGACCGAAGGGGAGAGGGUUAGCAGAGGUAAACACAAUGCCUUUUUCCGGCUCAAAACCAGGGUUUAAAAAAAGGCAGGGAGCUACCAGUGGCGCGGAAACAGCAGAACCGAAAUGACAGGGGACCACGAGGAGGAGGAGGGACCGAACUACAGGCGACUGCUGAUGACGUCCAGGAGCAGGGGCUUGUCGCUGUUUCCGGAGAGGGGUCUUGGUCAUAGACUCUCCAUCCCACUCAGCCCCAGGAACAGAACCGCUGGACCAGCCCUUCCAGAGCCCUACCUGCCGGAGGACUCAGAAGUCCUGAAUCAGAUAA
rnacentral:lncRNA from 1 species